UACGUAGGGUGCGAGCGUUAAUCGGAAUUACUGGGCGUAAAGCGUGCGCAGGCGGUCUGUUAAGACCGAUGUGAAAUCCCCGGGCUUAACCUGGGAACUGCAUUGGUGACUGGCAGGCUUUGAGUGUGGCAGAGGGAGGUAGAAUUCCACGUGUAGCAGUGAAAUGCGUAGAGAUGUGGAGGAAUACCAAAGGCGAAGGCAGUGUCCUGGGGAGUACCUGACGCUCAGGUGCGAAAGCCAGGGGAGCGAACGGG
rnacentral:rRNA from 1 species